GCCGGGACGUGGACGGGCCGCGCUCCGGCAGGGGCUCAAAAAAAUACCGUUGUGUAUAUUUUGUAUAAACUCGUUUACACAUGUCCGUGUCCGGGCCGGGGCCGGGACGGGCCCGCGGCUCAUACAAACUAGUACGUCCACGUCCCGAGCACGGCCCGGAUAUGUGUGGAUAGUCCUUUAGAUUUUUAACCGCACUGUUUUGUUUCCUUCAACAAGAGAAUUAAGAAAAGAACACGAGUCGAGAAACCAACAUUCGUUUAAUCAAAAUAUGCACCCGUGCCGUUAAUACUACACAAGCUAAUAUUAACAGCACCGUCAAACGGUGUUAAAGAAAGUGAAACGCCAGGGCCCGACGCCGGCGGAGCCCAGCGAGCCCAGCGAGCCCGCCGAGCGAGCCGAGCCCGCGCCGGCCAAGCCGACGCACGGCGCCCUGUCCGGCUUGAGGAAGCUGUUCGCCAGGAACGCCGUGCCCUACCUCGAAGCGAAGGACUCCAGCGUCGCGGGCGACGGCGGCGGCGGCGGCGGGGGCGGGGCCGGGGCGAAGGCCGACUCCGACGCGUGCCGCAUCUCGUGACCGCCGAACCC